ACAGAAUGGAAAGAGAGGUGGUGCUUUGGGCCGUUGUUCUAUUUCCAAAUGGCGGAACUGCAACAGUUCUUUCCAGCUGGUUCAAUGCAAAGGAAGGUACUUUGUCCUGGCCCCCAAAAAACAUUAAUUAUUCAAAGGCCCUAAAAGAAAACAUGAUGCCCCGUAAAGGAUGGACCGCGUAUGAGAAUGUUCGGCUCUUAAAUACUUGUGCCUCGUUUGAAAAGGCCAAGCAACAUGAAGAAAAGUAUGUCACUACUGGAUGUCCGACCACUGAUUUGGAAUCAGAGGUGGAAGCAAAUGUACGUCGGAAAAGAAGAACAAGAACAAAUACUGUGUAUGCGGAGUCAGAUGAGGAGCCAGAAACCAGCAGUGUUAAGAGAAAAUUUGCCAAGCCACCUGCUAUUCACUUUCCAGGUACAGUGGUGACACUGUCAGUUAUGAUACUACAACUACUUUUGC
rnacentral:lncRNA from 1 species